rnacentral:rRNA from 1 species
AGAGUUUGAUCCUGGCUCAGGAUGAACGCUAGCGACAGGCCUAACACAUGCAAGUCGAGGGGUAACAUGAGUGCUUGCACUUGAUGACGACCGGCGCACGGGUGCGUAACGCGUAUGCAACUUACCUUGUACUGGGGAAUAGCCCGUGGAAACGCGGAUUAAUGUCCCAUAACACUACAAUUUCGCAUGGAAAAGUGGUUAAGGUUCCGACGGUACAAGAUGGGCAUGCGUGACAUUAGCUAGUUGGUGAGGUAAGGGCUCACCAAGGCGACGAUGUCUAGGGGUUCUGAGAGGAAGGUCCCCCACACUGGUACUGAGACACGGACCAGACUCCUACGGGAGGCAGCAGUGAGGAAUAUUGGUCAAUGGGCGCAAGCCUGAACCAGCCAUGUCGCGUGCAGGAAGACUGCCCUACGGGUUGUAAACUGCUUUUGUAUGGGAAGAAACGUUGGUACGUGUACCAAUUUGCCGGUACCAUACGAAUAAGGAUCGGCUAACUCCGUGCCAGCAGCCGCGGUAAUACGGAGGAUCCAAGCGUUAUCCGGAUUUAUUGGGUUUAAAGGGUGCGUAGGCGGUAGAAUAAGUCAGUGGUGAAAUCCUGCAGCUUAACUGUGGAACUGCCAUUGAUACUGUUUUACUUGAGUGUAAUUGAGGUAGGCGGAAUGUGUUGUGUAGCGGUGAAAUGCAUAGAUAUAACACAGAACACCGAUUGCGAAGGCAGCUUACUAAGUUAUAACUGACGCUGAUGCACGAAAGCGUGGGUAGCGAACAGGAUUAGAUACCCUGGUAGUCCACGCCGUAAACGAUGAUUACUCGCUGUAGGCAAUACACCGUCUGUGGCUGAGCGAAAGCAUUAAGUAAUCCACCUGGGGAGUACGUUGGCAACAAUGAAACUCAAAGGAAUUGACGGGGGCCCGCACAAGCGGAGGAACAUGUGGUUUAAUUCGAUGAUACGCGAGGAACCUUACCUGGACUUAAAUGUAGAUUGACGUAUCCAGAGAUGGAUAUUUCUUCGGACAAUUUACAAGGUGCUGCAUGGUUGUCGUCAGCUCGUGCCGUGAGGUGUCGGGUUAAGUCCCAUAACGAGCGCAACCCCUGUUGUUAGUUACCAGCACAUCAUGGUGGGGACUCUAACAAGACUGCCGGUGUAAACCGCGAGGAAGGUGGGGAUGACGUCAAAUCAGCACGGCCCUUACGUCCAGGGCUACACACGUGUUACAAUGGCCGGUACAGAGGGCAGCUACUUGGUGACAAGAUGCGAAUCUCAAAAACCGGUCUCAGUUCGGAUCGAAGUCUGCAACCCGACUUCGUGAAGCUGGAUUCGCUAGUAAUCGCAUAUCAGCCAUGAUGCGGUGAAUACGUUCCCGGGCCUUGUACAC